AUAUGAACUAAAAACGUGAUGGGCCUUCUUUAUAAAUAAGGAAAGGUUCUGGGCCGAAUUGGGAAAUCUUCAAAACUUCAAUAAGUUGCGUCUAUAAGAUGCCGUCCGGUAUUGGUGUCGCUCGACAUCUACGCGGUUUUUAGUCCCCAGAUUUCUUCUGCAGCAUAAGUUCUCUGUUUUCCUCUAGAAUGCUCCAUUAUCUCCAAAUGAAUCCCAAACAUGUAAUAAUAUGAAAAAGACUAGAAAAGACUCUAUAAAUAACUAAUAUACUCUAAAACCUAUACCUAAAACAUAGUU
rnacentral:sRNA from 1 species